GUCCCUGUAGCGCAAUGGAUAACUCUCUGAACUUCUUAUCCAAAGGUCAUGGGUUCGAAUCCCAUCUGGGAUA
rnacentral:tRNA from 1 species